GACAUGUGCCCGAAAGAUAGGGUUUACCUUGAUAGGGUAUAUUAUAGGAGUUCAAACCACCUCAU
rnacentral:tRNA from 1 species